AUUGGGGAAUUUUCCGCAAUGGGGGAAACCCUGAUGGAGCGACGCCGCGUGCAGGAAGACGGCCUUCGGGUUGUAAACUGCUUUUAUAUGGGAACAAAUCAUUGAGCGUACCAUAUGAAUAAGCACCGACUAACCACGUGCCAGCAGUCGCGGUAAUACGUGGGGUGCAAGCGUUACCCGGAAUUAUUGGGCGUAAAGCGUCUGUAGGCUGUUUUGUCAGUCCGCUGCUAAAAUCAUCAGGCUCAACCUGGUGGCUGGCACGGAUACUGCAAAACUCGAGGAUGAGAGAGGCAAGCGGAACUCCCGGUGUAGCGAUGAAAUGCGUUUAUAUCGGGGGGAACACCAGUGGCGUAAGCGGCUUGCUGGCUCAUUUCUAACGCUGAGAGACGAAAGCGUGGGUAGCGAAUGGGAUUAGAUACCCCAGUAGUCAAU
rnacentral:rRNA from 1 species